rnacentral:rRNA from 1 species
AUUGAACGCUGGCGGAAUGCUUUACACAUGCAAGUCGAACGGCAGCACGGACUUCGGUCUGGUGGCGAGUGGCGAACGGGUGAGUAUGUAUCGGAACAUGCCCAGUCGUGGGGGAUAACGUAGUGAAAAUUACGCUAAUACCGCAUACGAUCUAUGGAUGAAAGCGGGGGAUCGCAAGACCUCGCGCGACUGGAGCGGCCGAUAUCAGAUUAGGUAGUUGGUGGGGUAAAGGACCACCAAGCCAACGAUCUGUAGCUGGUCUGAGAGGACGACCAGCCACACUGGAACUGAGACACGGUCCAGACUCCUACGGGAGGCAGCAGUGGGGAAUUUUGGACAAUGGGCGAAAGCCUGAUCCAGCCAUUCCGCGUGCAGGAUGAAGGCCCUCGGGUUGUAAACUGCUCUUGUACAGAACGAAAAGGUUUCUACUAAUACUAGGAGCUCAUGACGGUACUGUAGGAAUAAGCACCGGCUAACUACGUGCCAGCAGCCGCCGUAA